rnacentral:rRNA from 1 species
UGCGUAGGCGGACUAAUAAGUCAGUGGUGAAAUCUUUCGGCUCAACCGGGAAACUGCCAUUGAUACUGUUAGUCUUGAGUUCGGUUGAGGUAGGCGGAAUGUGUAAUGUAGCGGCGAAAUGCUUAGAUAUUACACAGAACACCAAUUGCGUAGGCAGCUUACUAGACCGACACUGACGCUGAGGCACGAAAGCGUGGGGAGCGAACAGGAUUAGAUACCCUGGUAGUCC